rnacentral:rRNA from 1 species
UACGUAGGGGGCAAGCGUUGUCCGGAUUUACUGGGCGUAAAGAGCGUGUAGGCGGCCAUACAGGUCCGUUGUGAAAACUGGAGGCUCAACUUCCAGACGUCGACGGAAACCGUGUGGCUAGAGUCCGGAAGAGGAGAGUGGAAUUCCUGGUGUAGCGGUGAAAUGCGCAGAUAUCAGGAAGAACACCAAUGGCGGAAGGCAGCUCUCUGGGACGGUACUGACGCUGAGACGCGAAAGCGUGGGGAGCGAACAGG